AAAUCAAUAAUAGUCCAUUUUCAUAUCAUAAAUAUAACACCACCUUCAUCAUCCAAAUCACAACCAAUUAGUCUCAAAUAAGUUUUCUAUCUCCUCACAACCACAACAAAAUUUAUAAACAGACGAAGGAAGAAGAAGGAAGUAUCUCUGCAAAUCUAGUGAGUCACCACCGCGAGUUCCAGCCAUCCACACCAUCACAGUCGCUGCAUACAUCUCUCUCUCUCUUUCAGUGUUCUCCUCCCAGGUUUAAUCGUGGUGUGUUCAAGCAUGGAAGAAGGAGUCUUGCAAAUAUAUGCGUUUUUAGAGAAGUAGUAUUAGGCAUGAGCUGAAUUGGUAAAUAGAUAUGAAAACAAGAUUUGCGACAAGAAUUGGCAACAAUGACCAUUCAGAAGAUUUUGAGACAACAGAAGAGGAAGACUUAAAUGAUCGUACUGGUGCAGUUAACACAGAAGAGGAAGAGGAUGAAAUUGCUGAUAUGAGAAAUAAGAAAAGCAAAAAAACUUCAUCAAGGAUAUUGCAUAGGUGUUUUCCUAAGAAGCUGACAGAAUUAGUUUUGUUGUUGAACGAGGGAAAGAAAGAUCCUAGUAAGAAAGAAGACUGUAUUAAGAAAGAGAAGUAUAUUAAGGAAUGUGGAUUUGGCGGAUUGUUGAAACUGAACAUCACCAUUAUCCCGGGGGUAUUUGUAAGCUGGAUUUUAAAUAACUUUGACAAAGAUAGGGGAAUGGUUGUCAAUGAAAAUGCAAGAAUUACUGUUGGAGAAGAAGAUGUGAAGAGGGUAUAUGAUUUGCCAAGGGGUAAGAAGAUAAUUGAUUUGGAAAAGGUUGACAAAUCAAAUAAAGAAAUGUUGAAGAAAUUUAAGGACUAGCUCUGGUACAUAGGGGAGACUUAUGAUAGUAUGAUCAACAUACAUACCAAUGUUUUGUAUGAAAGGUUGAUGAAGUUUGAAAUCACAAAGAACAAAGCUUGGGCAAAAGGUUUUAUAUUAUUGGCUAUCGAAACCAUUCUUUGCCCAACUACUUCAUAUUUGGUUAGUUUGAACUAUGCUACAGUGUUGAGCGAAAGUAAAGAAAGUUAGUAACUACAACUGGUGUCAACACUUAAUUCAACAUGCCAAUGGAGAGAUUAAGAAAGAUGCAUGUUUUGGGAAAGCAGACUUCCACUUUCUUCUAGUACAUUUUUUAGAUAUGGUGCAAACAACCAAAAAGAAGAAAAUAGUUGAAAAACCACCAAGUUGUAGUAAAUGGGAGGAUGAUAUUGUGAGCUUGGAGUUGAAGAAAAUAAAGGAGAAUGGAGGUUUCAACAAGGUGAUCGUUCUUGAUAAAAAAGAUUGUGAUGUUCCAGAAAGUAGUAGAGCAGAAAAAGACAUGGAUGAUGAAGUGAUGCAGGCCAAAAUUGCUGAGACUGCAAAACGUAGUAGAGAGAAAGUGAUCCAAAGAAAAAGGGAAAAAGCGAAAGACACAAUAUAUGGAUGAUGAAAUGAUGGAGGCUCAUUUGGCUCCACAUGACUACGCAUUAGAAGAGGCUAAAAAACAAAUAAAGAUUUGUGAUGAAAAGCUGAAGUUUUGGGCAAAUUGGAAGACUUAUUGGGUCAAACAGGCAGAGGAAGCUAAGUCUUCAAUGAGAAAAGGAAAAGAAGUUGGAGAUAAGGAGCAUCGUUUUGAGACGGAAAAAGAAGUUGGAGAUAAAGAGGAUGAUGCACAUGAGCCUAGAAAUGCAAGUCCUAAAUAGGUUGAGAGUGAAGACAAGGAUGAUGAUUCGGAUCAUGGGAAUGAAGAACAAGCUGAAAAUUUAGUUGAUAAAGAGGAUGAUGCAGAACAGCUUGGAAAAGAAGAUGAUGCAAAUCAGCCUGAAAAAGAAAGUCAAGAGAAGCAUGGUGAUACAGGGGAGAUGAAUGAUUAUGAUUGGGGUCAGCCUUCUUUUGAUAUAGGAUUCAAUACUCCUAUAUCAUUGGAAGUAGUAUUACCAAUGGAAGAAAGUAGAAAGUCACCACCUGAGCUGGUAACAUACACACUUAUGGAGAACGUACCACAAAAUGAACAGUUUCCGCUUCCAAAAAGGAUCUCAGCGUUGUCACAAUACUUUAGAUCCCCAUAUGUAAUGCAAAUGAAGAAGGCAAAAUUGAGUGAGGAAGACACACAAUUGGUCACCUAUGCCUGGACAUUGGCAAAAGUAGAUGGAGGAGCUAUGUACGUUGAUUUUUUUAUUCCAACCAUUUAAUUUUUUUUUUCAAGAGAAGCCCAUGUAGUGGCUGAGUAUGCAGAAGAUUUAAUAAGACAGCUCAAAUACAUGGAUUUUAAUGAUAUAGACAUCGAAAAUCCUGAAUAUUUUAUUUGAAGAGUCACUAUGCUGCAUAUGUGAUCGAUUUCAAAGAACAGAGGUUCAGAUUUCUGAAUAGUUGUGAAAAGUUCACAUUUCGAAAAGAAGAUGAAUGGGACAACUGGGGGAAGUGGAAAGUGAGAUAUGGGAUGGAGUUGAUAAAUGCUAAGAGAAAUGAACCAAUAGACUUUAGUGAAUGGAGUUGGGAGGGUGUGAAAUUGCCUUUAAAACAUGAUAGGAAAUCAUGCAGGCUAUUUGUUCUCACAUAUAUUGAGAAAUGGGAUAGCAAGCAAGCUGCAAUUUGGGAUUUUUUUAAGCAUUGGGAUAUGAUGACAAAUGAAGAUCAAGAUGAUUUCAUGGAGAUUCAAAGAGUAAAAGUGCUGCUAGACAUCUUGAAGCGUGAAGACAAUGAGCUGCUUUGAAACUUGACAAAGUUAGCCCUGAACUUGGUUGAAGAAGAGGCAGCAUGUGCUAUGGAGAUGACCUCGAGAAAGAAGCCGAGAAGAACAAAAAAAAGAUGAAGACAAAGAAGUCAGCCCUGAACUUGGGUGAAGAAGAGGCAGAAUGUUCUAUGGCACAUGACCUUGAGAAAGAAGCCGAGAAGAACAAGAAGAAACUGACGACAAAGAAGUCAGACCUGAACUUGGCUGAAGAGGUCGUAGACAAGAUCGAGAAAUAAGCCGGGAAGAAGACAAAAAAACAUAAGAC